rnacentral:rRNA from 1 species
CACGCCGUAAACGAUGUCAACUAGCCGUUGGGUUCAUUUAAGAACUUAGUGGCGCAGCUAACGCGAUAAGUUGACCGCCUGGGGAGUACGGCCGCAAGGCUAAAACUCAAAGGAAUUGACGGGGGCCCGCACAAGCGGUGGAGCAUGUGGUUUAAUUCGAUGCAACGCGAAGAACCUUACCUGCCCUUGACAUCCAGGGAACUUUCCAGAGAUGGAUUGGUGCCUUCGGGAACCCUGAGACAGGUGC